UACGUAGGGUGCGAGCGUUAAUCGGAAUUACUGGGCGUAAAGCGUGCGCAGGCGGCUUGCCAAGUCAGAUGUGAAAGCCCCGGGCUCAACCCGGGAACUGCGUUUGAAACUGGCAGGCUAGAGUUUGGCAGAGGGGGGUGGAAUUCCACGUGUAGCAGUGAAAUGCGUAGAGAUGCGGAGGAACACCGAUGGCGAAGGCAGCCCCCUGGGCUAACACUGACGCUCAGGCACGAAAGCGUGGGGAGCAAACAGG
rnacentral:rRNA from 1 species